rnacentral:rRNA from 1 species
UACGGGGGGAGCAAGCGUUGUUCGGAUUUACUGGGCGUAAAGGGCGCGUAGGCGGCCACCGCAAGUCGAUUGUGAAAUCUCCGGGCUUAACCCGGAAAGGUCAGCCGAUACUGCGGGGCUAGAGUGCAGAAGGGGCAACUGGAAUUCUCGGUGUAGCGGUGAAAUGCGUAGAUAUCGUGAGGAACACCAGAGGCGAAGGCGGUUACCUGGACAGUUACUGACGCUCAGGCACGAAAGCGUGGGGAGCAAAAGGG